rnacentral:lncRNA from 10 species
AAACCUGAUGUCAUGCCUUGAUGCUCUGCAGCCAGCCUUGCCUGAAAUCGAAGCAGAUUCAUGCAUUUUCCAGAAAGGUGGGAUUUUGCCUUGAGCCUGCCCAGCUCGGCACUCAUGACAAAGCCUGGCAUAUAGUAGGCUCUUUGGAAGUGUUCCCGUGCCAAAGAAGGAAAGAACCAUCCAGAAGGCAGGUAGACCCUGAGGGCGAAGAGGAUGCUUGGACCUGGAGAAAGGCCUGGAAGGAGACGCCUGAGCCUGCCAACACUGGGAGCUGGGGAAGCAAUGACCAGCUGACACAACGCUGCGUCACUUGUUCCAAUGUGCAUUUGUUAUUUUGUGUUUUGAAAAAGCGACUAAGAAAACCUUUAAAUGAAAAAGAGACUGAAUAAACAAGUGCUUUAAUGACAAC